CUGCAACAUGAAGAGUGACAGAAAUUACCUUUAGCAGCCUUUGCACUGUUACUCCAUCAAAGCUGAUAGAAACAAUCAGGCUCAGACUGCACUAAUAAAGACCUUUCUGACAUCCUCCCAAAGCAAAUGAAGAACUAAAAGUGAAAUAUUUUUCAACCCUUCGUUGGAAAACCUGGACAUUACCACAAAACAUUAUGCUUCUGACUGCUUUCCAAGGAUCUCUAUUUUCUUCCUUACUUAAUUCUCUCUUGGAACUUGUUUGACUGUGUUGUCUUCUCUUUUCCUCUUGUCUAUCUGUAAUGUGCUGACAGCAUACUAAUUUUCUCUUUUCCUUUCUGCCUCUGUUUUAAUUUUUCUUCGCUCACAGUGGAUCUCCAGUGAUUCAGGAGAAAAGGAGUCUGUUAUCUGUUCUACAGAGGAGAUACAUACAGCAGCAUAACUUUGCUGUUUUCCACAGCAGCGUGACAGUACUGAAUCAUUCCACCUUAACAGACACUAAAAGUUGCAAACUUAACUGUGAUACUCAACAUUCCCUUUACUGAAUUAUUUUUUCAAAUUAUACUGUUCAUUUCUCAAGACCUUUUUGAAUGCCCAUCCUGUUCACCAGAGGGCUUGCCUUCUUUCCCUGGUCUACAAAAUAGGAAGUACUAAGUACACUUUUCAGUACACUGUUGAAGUUGUUCUUACAAGUAUUGAAUAGCCCAAGACUCCAGCCUUUGAAAUGUCUAGUUCACACAUCCUUCUAUUCUGAUCAUGAGUUGCUGAUAACAACAUUCUGACUAGAGUUUUCCAUCCACUUACUUAGUUCUCUUGAUUGUAUGUGACCUGCAUGAGGACAUCAUGUGAACUGGUAGCAAGGUCUUGCUAAACUGAAGAGAUAUUGCUCCUCCCCUAUCUACAAAUCUGUUGUAAAAAUGAAUAAAUCUUCUUCCAUCUCCUGGAAGGAUAUUGCCUUAAUUUGGUAUGACUUGCUCUUGCUAAAUCUGUGAUAAGUGAUACUUCUGCCCUUGCUUUGGUUUUGUUUGUUUGUUUUUCCCUGAGAUUUACAAGAGGUUGGUUUGCAUCUGGCUAUAAAGCCUUCCAAGAGCCAAUGAAAAUGCCAAUUCAGAACCAUUCAGAAAUAAAAGGAAAACUCUCAAAUAGGUGAAUUGAGCAAACCACGCAAAAUCAGAAAGAUGGUCUUGAUGCACUUUCCAGUAGUCCAGCGUAUAUAUCACAUCGGACCUCUACAUAAAUAACUUGGUCCUUCCUGGCUGACACAGUAGGAAGGAAUGGAGUGAGUGAUAGAUAUUUGGAUCAAAUAUGUUUCCAUUUUGAGCAACCUCGCAUCACUGAUGGUUGAAUUAUAAAGUUGGAUGAAGGGGAGAAACAACAAGAAUGGGAUAUGAGCACUAUCUAGUCCUUCCUUAUUUCAAAGUCUCUCUCAACACAGAGGCCAAGCUCCUUUGGUCAUUAAUGAAGUUGCUUUGAGUAGAUCUAAAGUGUCUCGGACUGGAAGGGAAUCCAGAUUAUACCACCUGGAGUGUUGCUCCUUCACUGGACCUCAAGGUGGAACUCUUGAGAGCAAGGGCUUUUGCUAUUGCAUGGAUCAUCUCUGAAGAUGGAUGUGUUUUGCUUACGUUCAUCAGAGCUGGAAGAAGUACUGCAUUUUAUUGUACAGUAAAGUGCUCCCUUCUGCGAGGUCACUGCAAGCCUAUUUCGGACUUGAAGAGAACUAAC
rnacentral:lncRNA from 1 species